rnacentral:rRNA from 1 species
CAAUAGCGUAUAUUAAAGUUGUUGCGGUUAAAAAGCUCGUAGUUGGAUUUCUGGUAGGAGUGACCGUGCCAGACUUGAUUGUCUGUGUAUUGUGUUGUCUCCAGCCAUCCUUGUGGAGAACUUUUCUUGCAUUAAUUUGUAGGGAUUGGGACCCGCAUCGUUUACUGUGAAAAAAUUAGAGUGUUUAAAGCAGGCAAUCGCUUGAAUACAUUAGCAUGGAAUAAUACGAUAGGACUUUGGUACUAUUUUGUUGGUUUGCAUACCAAAUUAAUGAUCAACAGGAACAGUUUGAGGAUAUUCGUAUGAACAUGUCAGAGGUGAAAUUCUUGGAUUUUGAUCAGACGAACUACUGCGAAAGCAUUUAUCAAGGAUGUUUUCAUUA